rnacentral:lncRNA from 1 species
UUUUUAUACAGUGAAAAUGUGUAAAUGGACCUAUGCAGAUACUUGCCCUAGGACUUCAACCUUUGUUGAAUUUCAAUUUUUUUUCGAAAUCAUCUAGUCCUUGGAUCAUAGUAUUUCCAACCCCAAGGGACUUUAGGGAUCAUCUAAUCCACUCCCUUCAUUUUACAGAGGAAACCAAGAACCUGAACAGCAGUUACAAAGUAAAGCAAAGCUUGUUUGCAGGAGACUCCCAGAGCUGUUAAGGGGACCUUGUUAAAGGGGAUUAGGGAAGUGAACAUCAGUAAACAAAGCCUGGGGUUUUACCUGCUAAGAAAAUUAGUGGCUAAGCAUAAACAAACAAACUCCUUGCUCUAAAGCCAGACCCCUCUAUGCACAUGGGGAUUUAGCAAUAGCAAGCCAUGCGCCGGUGCAGAUAGUACAUCCCAAUCAGCCACUGUUCUACUGCUCUUUUCCACGAGGAGUUACCAAACUGCCCUGGCAGUUUAUGUUGGCAGGUGAUUAGGUAAAGUGCAGCUUUCUGUUCCAGAGGGUCAGAAAAGUGUAGGGACCAUUAAUAUCUGUGGAUUAAAGAGUAUAUAGGAAUUGUACCAUCUGUGGAGACAGUUGAGAGGUCAUAACUGCACAAGGACUGUUCCCCUGAACAAUGGCUACAGGAAUCUAUCUGGAAGCAAAUUUUAUGGUCUAUAGAUCCAACUUUUUUUUUAUUCAAUUGGAAAGAAGAAAGGCCAAUGGAGAGCUCUCUGAGAUUGAAGAAAUUUGUCCCAUAGAGAAGGAUACAGUGUCUAUUUGCCCAAGUCCCCAAAAUAGGAGGAUCAUUUUUUGGACAGCUUUUGCCCUGCCAUUCCCAAGGAACUGAUGUCACUUCACCCAGGGUUCAAUUUGAUCUUUGUGACUUCACCCAAGAUUCACUAUAUUUGCUCAUGGAGGUGGGGUGGAAGGAGCAAAUUGCAAUGUAAAUAAAAUGCUAAUUAUAUGUUUAACA